CCGAGUUACAACUCCCAAACCCCUGUGAACAUACCUAUACGUUGCCUCGGCGGAUCAGCCCGCGCCCCGUAAAACGGGACGGCCCGCCGCAGGGACCCACAAACCCUGAAUUUUAUUGUAACUUCUGAGUUUAAAAAACAAAUAAAUCA
rnacentral:misc_RNA from 1 species